GAACUUGCCAGAGAUGCUUUGGUGCCUUCGGGAACCGUGAGACAGGUGCUGCAUGGCUGUCGUCAGCUCGUGUUGUGAAAUGUUGGGUUAAGUCCCGCAACGAGCGCAACCCUUAUCCUUUGUUGCCAGCGGUCCGGCCGGGAACUCAAAGGAGACUGCCAGUGAUAAACUGGAGGAAGGUGGGGAUGACGUCAAGUCAUCAUGGCCCUUACGAGUAGGGCUACACACGUGCUACAAUGGCGCAUACAAAGAGAAGCGAACUCGCGAGAGCAAGCGGACCUCAUAAAGUGCGUCGUAGUCCGGAUCGGAGUCUGCAACUCGACUCCGUGAAGUCGGAAUCGCUAGUAAUCGUGGAUCAGAAUGCCACGGUGAAUACGUUCCCGGGCCUUGUACACACCGCCCGUCACACCAUGGGAGUGGGUUGCAAAAGAAGUAGGUAGCUUAACCUUCGGGAGGGCGCUUACCACUUUGUGAUUCAUGACUGGGGUGAA
rnacentral:rRNA from 1 species